ensembl:lncRNA
CAACAGGCUCGCUUAGGUCCCUCCUGUCACUGAACCCAUCACUGUCCGGGGCUGGGCAGUGGGGGCUUUGCCAGGCCUGGCUCGUGCGCUCCCCGGGGCCUGGGGUUCAGGAUCAGCUCAGCCCAAACACAGGGACUGAGGUGGGAAAGUGAAUUCUCACAUGCAGUCGGGUCUGUUCAUACAAGGAGGGGAGUGGAUGCUGGGGGACGCACAGGAGAUGUUCCCUCCGCGAAGGGGACGUGCAGGACCACACCACGCUGCCCGAGAAUCACCAAGGACUCAGAGGGAGGAGGAGGCGAGAGAGAGGAAGAGGCUGAGGUAGGGAGACUCCGGUUCCCCCUCCUGCCUAGCACGGUGUCACCGGGCGUGACAGGAGGGGGCUGGACAAGGUUCAGGGAGCAUGUGACCAUCAGGGUCCUGCUGGUGAGAAAGGAGGGCAUGCCCCGGCGAGACAGCUGGCAGAGUCUGUCAUCGUCCAAUUAACCGGCUCAGGAGAUCUGCGUUUACGGCCGAGGACACACGCAGCUGUUUUCCAUCCAAGGUUCAUAAUUUACUUCUUCACCAACACGAAUUCCUGCAUUUGAGAAUUUCCCAAAUCUCCACCCUCCUUGGGGCGCACAGACAUGCCCCCUGCAGCGCCUGCAUUAGCCGCUUUUCCGUGCCCGGCACAGAUCACCCCCCUCCUGGUCGCCCGGGCUGCGGGGCCUCAGCUGUCCUCCAUCUGCAGACCAGCCGCCGAGGGAUUAAAAACCUCCUCGCUGGCCAGGGAGCCUGGGCUUGUCCUCCAGCAGCUCCGGCCUGGAUGCGGUCCCAGAGAUAAAUCAUAUCUCUUUAAAAGGCCACAACGGCCCAUUAUUUCUGCUUGAAAAUACCCCUGGAUCUUCACUUGAGAGCUGGGGUGACAGGCCCCGGCUGUGGUGCUCAGCUCUGCAUAAAAUCGCUGUCAGCCGGUCAACUUCUGUCACGAGCAGGCUGGCAGCUUCAGACGGAGGGUAAGGAAGAUCCCCUCCCCGGCUCCAGGACCUGGCCGGAGGCUCCCGAGAGUCCCGCCUGCAGAAGAAGCGGGAACCUCCACCAUCCUUGGGCUCAUGCCCACGUGAAGUGCCCUGUUCCUGCCCGGUCAACAUGGUGAGGAGCCAAAACGACAGGGCGAUUCCUGGUCUGCAUUUCGAGAUAUCCUGUGAUACUUCCUCAAGUAAACAGCAAUCGGAAAUAAUAAACCGAGCACAACUGAACAAUUAUUGUGGAUAUUUUCACCCAGAAGAAUAUAAUGCGCCUCCACAUUCCCAUCACUUGGAUUCCACAGGGACCAGGAUUUGCCCCACUCCCUCCAGCUCUCACCCCUCUUCCUGCCAGCGUGUUUUAAAGCAAAUCCCAGACCUCACGUGGAUGUCUUCUACCAUAGCUGCAGCGUCCUUGUCACUUCUAAAGUUCAAACUUCCCCACUUGUCUGGCAAAUGUCUUCCUCUCAUUGCUUUUCCGGAAUCAGGAUUCGAACAAGGCCCCGUCCUUGGUCGUGAAGGCUCUGCCGUCUCCGGUGGAGGUGAUCCACGCCCCUCACUUUCCUUCUCACGUCAUGUAGAGUUCCCAGGAUCAGCUGCCUGUGGGACACCCCGCAUUCCGGAUUUGUGCGUCUGCCGCCUCCUGGUGUCACGUUUUAACCCCCUCACCUGGGAAGACGUGGAUGCCACUGAGCGACCUUGGGGGGGGGGGUCAUGGUUUCGAAUGAACCCAGCCCGGGGGUUGGAGUUCAGAGGGGCCAGCUUCCAGAAUUGCGUUAGAAGGCAAACUGUGUGUUUUCAGCCAUUUCCGGUAUUGCUGUUGAACGAGUAAGCAGGCGUUUGCUCGCAGCGUCACCACCUCAUUCGACGUUGGUUUUGGGUGGCAUUACUUUCCCAGGUGAGAUGUUAUGAGCACUCCAGUCCCAACAGCACGGCCCGUGCUCACACAUGUGAGGAAUCGUGAACAGUCGUGAGGUGAAGGGCUGGUGAAAGGGGUCGUGUUACACGAGCGUGUGUCCCAGGCCAACACACAGGCUCGUUAUUCUGGCCUGAGUUGCGUCCUGGGUCAGGGGCAUGAGUCUGGGAAGGUCAGUGUCCACCCGCUACAGUUACAGAAGGCCUGACGCUGUGUGCUGGGCUCCACCAUGGGCGUCAUCUUAUCCAACCCUCCAUCGCGAUCCCUUCACGCCACAGGUGCGGACACCAAGGCUCAGGGAAGAUGAGUUUGCUCAAGGCCACACGUCUCGUAGACCCAGGAUGGGCCUGGAGGCCCGGCUUCCACUUGGCCUCACCGUCCAUUUCACCAGCAGCCAAGACUGUUCAGGAAUGCAGAUCCGCAGACCCCUCCAAUCACUUGCCCCCAUUCUCCACGAGAACCCCAGGGCCUUGCCCUGUACCUGGGGCUCGCCCCCCUUCCUGCCUCCCUGCAGUGCACCCUCCCCCACCACCACAGUCUGCAGCCUCUUCUCUGUUCCCUGCGCUUGUCCAGCCCAGUCCUGCCUCCAGGCCUUUGCACGAACUGUGCCCUUUGUCUGGAACGCUCUCCUGGCGGCCUGUGCCUGGCUGGAAUCUUCUCGGUGUCCCCUCAGCUCAAAGGUCACCUCUCCAGGGAGGCCGGCCCUCCCCUCCCCGUCUAACACGGCCUCGAUUCCCUUUAUCCCAACUCCCCGGUGACCCCCCAUACGGCAGGCUUGCCCCCUUCAUCCACCUUGUUCUUCAUUUACUUGUGCACUGAGUCUCCUGGAGACUUCACCCUCUGAGGGCGAGCACCGGUCUCCCCACUCAAACCUCCAUCCCCGGGGCUCAGAGGAGGCCGUCAAUAAACACUUGCUGGAAGAUGGUGGAUAAAUAAACGAAACAGGCCCGAAUAAACGAAUAAAACCCAAAGUCAAUGUAAAUGAGCUUUCCCAAGAAGUCAUAUUAUUAUGACAGAAAAAGGAAAGAAAAGAGCAAGUCUGUGCGCAGGAAGCUGGGCCGCAGCAUUUCCCUCUGUCCUCCAGGAAGCAGCGGAACUGAGGACGCUGAUUUCACUGCAGAGCGGAGCUGCCUGGACAGCCUCUGUUUCUGUCCGGUCGCUGGAGCCUCGGCCCACGUGUGGGCACAGGACCUGGCCUGCCCUCCCGGGAGCACGGAGGUCCGCUUCCCAGCCCUCACCGGGCCUCUGGACCCUGGGCCGUCUACUGUCUUCUCGACUGUGAAAUUCCAACAGGCCGUGGAGAAAUGCUUUUUUUGUCUUUCCUCCAUCUCAGCACCGUCCUCAUCCCCGGUCAGUGUCACAGGGACACUGAUAAGGGCUCUGCAGAGCCCUGGACACAGGACCUCAUCAUUCCCAGUCUUAGGAGCCGGCCGGGGCGGGGUUUUCUUUUCCUUUUGUCCCGCCCCUGCAUUCCACCUGAUAAAGGCGCCUUCUCUUCCCGCUCUGCUCCAGGUGGCCCUUCUCUGAGGGCCUUGCCUGCUGCUUUGUCUGCGUGACCUCCAGGCGCUUUCAUGAUGCUUUCAUCCCAGAAUCACCACAGCUCCUGAGAGAAGGGGAGCUGGUUAUAAAAGGAAACACUUCUCUUAAUUACUCUUAAACUCGGAGUGACUUGCUGAGGGCAGGGCGCUGAGGGACCCAGGGUUUGUGACAGCAGGGGCGGUGGACCAGGCCGGCCCGCUGGGCGCUGAGCCGCCUCCUGCAGACCAGGGCACCGCUGUGCUCCGCGGCGGGUAAUCACGGCCUUUCUGGGAGCCCUGAGCGCUGCUGUCUCCUGUGAGAUGAGAAUCCACCUGCAACUGCCCUGGAGGGAAUGUUCUAGAAGGGGCUGGCCCCAGGUCUUCCCUCUGCUGGGUCCGGGAGAGGUCACAGAAGAUGCUGUGGCCCCCGGGCAGCCCUUGGGGUCCUCAGACGCCACGGAUGCAGCAACACCACAGAAGAUUCUGUAGACCAGGCCUCCUCCAGGCUGGCGGAAGGGAAGGGGCCCCUGACAAGACCCCCAGCUCCCUCCCUGCCCCUCACAGGCUCCACUCUGCCCUCGCCUCUCUGGAGACCAGAGGCUGUUUUCAUUUUCAUCUUUAUCCCUGUUCGGGUCAGUCUGCAAAGGAAACCCAGGACCCCACUCCUCUCUCAUCCAGACCCUAAUGCCCAGCUCUGAGGGCAGGGAGGACGCCCGCCACUCCCCCGACCCUCUCACCCCCUCCACACGCCCUGACCCCCUAUCCCCCGACCCUCUCACCCCCUCCACACACCCUGACCCCUCUCCCCUGACCCUCUCAUCCCCCUCCACACACCCUGACCCCUCUCCCCUGACCCUCUCAUCACCCCACCCCC